rnacentral:rRNA from 1 species
UGGCGGACGGGUGAGUAACGCGUGGAGAACCUGCCGUAUACUGGGGGAUAACACUUAGAAAUAGGUGCUAAUACCGCAUAAGCGCACAGCUUCGCAUGAAGCAGUGUGAAAAACUCCGGUGGUAUACGAUGGAUCCGCGUCUGAUUAGCUAGUUGGCGGGGUAAAGGCCCACCAAGGCGACGAUCAGUAGCCGGCCUGAGAGGGUGAACGGCCACAUUGGGACUGAGACACGGCCCAAACUCCUACGGGAGGCAGCAG